GCACACACAUGGUCGGUUAUUUAUUAAUUUAUCAUUUAUCUUUAUGUGUGUUAUAAGAGUUCCGAAAUAGUCAUAUUCAAAUGGUAAACAGUUUAAAAUAAAGUACAUUAAGAAUGAAUCAGAGAUGGUUACUUCGAAAUGGUCAUAUUCAAAUGGUAAACAUUUUAAAAUAAAGUGCAUUAAGAAUGAAUCAGAGAUGGUUACUUCAACUGCAGUGAGUUGCGCUGCAAUAUCUCGCAUUUCCAUAAUAUGCUCACGAACCGAGCCUUUUCUGGAGUACUUCAUGGAAGGUAGUUUAUUCAUUAGAGUGCUCGCCAAAGCUUUACUAGAGCUUACAAACUAUUGCUCCACAGCAUUCAAGAAAUCGUGGGCUGUCUCGUAUU
rnacentral:lncRNA from 1 species